AAAGAUGGGUAAUUAAUUUAAUAUGAGGUUAGAGUUCACAAAAUACUGAAAAUGUAUAACUGCACUGCAACAAUUGCACUGGGGAUCAUCACCCCCACUACUGGAGCACAGGAGCUUAUGCUUAAAAAAUAAAUUGUCUUUACAACAGCAAAAGCUUGUUUUGUUAGUUAUCUGCAGGCUGACCAUCAGAGUUUCUUAACAAACAUUAGAGUUGCCUAAAUUGAUAAUUUAAAUUAAUAUUAAUCAUGGGUAACCAUGAGACAAUAAGGUACGUUUCUAGCGUAAAUGUCUUAGAUCUGUGAACAAAAAACUUUUCCUUUUUUAAAUCAAAGAUAAAGAAAUCACUAUCUGCAAUCAGCUCCCCGGUUCCAAUUUCUCACUAGGAAUGAUAUAUAUCAGCUUUGUAUAAUGCAAGCGUAAUUUGUAUUUCCACUUGAAGCAUAUUAUUCUGUGCAAAAAGGUAAUAGCUUAAUCAAUGAAAAAAGCAUGCAGAAUAAUCUACAUAAUAGAAAGGAAAGAUCAGCAAACAAGCAUUAUGCAGAUAAACAUAGAAUCGUGUCAAAUGUAGAAGGACAAGAUGUGUGGAUAAAAAUUUUGAAUCCUCAAUAGGUUCUUUUCCCCCUAAGAUGCAGGCAAUCCAUUUCAUGCAGUCUCGAUGAAACAACAGUUGAUUGCAUCCUCUAAUGAGGAAUACUUCUAAGUUGUUAAGUGUCCUCUAAUCCACCUUGAUAAACUAAAUUACUUGUGAAAUGUGCAUGCAUGUGUAAGUUGAGCAAUGAAAUGCAAAACUAUAUGCACUAUGAAAUGUGUUUUACAAACCCUGUACAUGAAGCAGAAGAGAUAAAAUAUGCCAAGUCCCUUCCCCUUAAUAAAAUAAAGGUACUUGUAGGGCUGAUACUUCAAACUGAUUCCAUAUCCGGAUUGCUGGAUCCCCAUGUCCUUCAGACUGUCAGAUGAAGACUUCAGGUAUCUCCGAACUGUAUAACAAAGAUUUGAGGAGAACUAUGAGGUGUCUCUGAACAAUCUUAUGAGAGCUUGAGAUGUCUCCAAGCUGUGAUAUGUAGACCUUUUAAGUUACCUCUGAACCACCUUACAGAAUUGAAGGUGUCUUUGAACUGUGUAUAAUACUUGAGUGACAUGGUUAAAUCUCAGAAGAGUAUCCCACCCUCCAUGAAAUAAAGACAGGCAUACCCAUAGGUGACUGUGCGAUAAGAGCAGAUCCAUAGGCAAAUGCCAGAUAUAAGUAUAAAGAUGAGGUGGGAGAGUCUUGCAUGUACCUAGUACACUAAGCUUGGAAUAGAGAUGUGGGCCUGAAGGAAACUGCUCAAUAAUCAAGUUUGGAGUAAAGAUGGAGAAAAAGGCCCAAGUACUCAAAUCUCCAUGCAUGGAGAUUUCAGAGAACACGAGCUUUGAACAACAUAGUGUUUUGUACAAUCAUGAUGAUUGAGGUGUUGAUCAGCAUGCUUGAUGCUGGACAUAGAUGAUCAGCACAAAAAUUGAAGAUGCAAAAAAAAUUGAGGCACCUUGUGCUGUCAUUGAAAAAUUGCCUUGGAUAUUGAGAUUGCUAUGCUAACAUGAGUUAGGAUGUUCAUUUGAGCAUGCACUAUGAUCAUGAAUCAAAUCAUUGUAAAGAUGGUAAUGAUUGGCUGGCUGCUAUUGCAAAGAUCCGAAUAAUUAAAGUUUGUUUGGAGAUUAUAACAGCCAGUUGCUAUAAUCCUGAAUACUAAGGUGAUAAAACAUUGUUAAUGAUGGCCUUGAGAGAUCAGACACUGUUGCUGCAUAAAUCACAAAGAAUAAGAAAUCCUAAAAAUACUAGAGGCUAUCAAGUGGUGCAGCAGCAUGGACCGUAUCAGCGUGAAUGGGUCUUUAAAUUAAUGUCAGUGUUUCCUCUUCUUCCAUUUUUCUAUUAUAAACUUUUUUACAGGAUAGCAAGGGAAAAAGAGAAAGAGAUACCAUGGAACCUUCUCCACACUCUUCUUCAUAAUAUAAUACUGUAAAUUUAAUAGUAUUCAAGGAGAAUGAGAUAGUGGAUGGUGUCAAUAAUGAGAGAGUAUAGAUUGGAAAAAAAAGAGAGAGGAUGAAAGUACUCACCCAUCACCACCCUCUUCCUCUGGGACCAGCAAGAGAUGCUCCUUGCUUCUAUUUGCUGCCAAGAUAUCACCCAAGAGAGGGCCUACAAUGAUGGGUCCUUCCUUCAUGUAGGCCUUGGAACAAUAUCAGCAACUAAGUCAUGUAUCAUCUGUACAAUGACGGAGCAUGUCCUUGUGGUUGGCAAGUGUCAAGGUCUUGACAUCUCAUGGUCAAGGUCAAAGAUGGCAUAGCAGUAUCAUAGUAGUGUCUGAACUCAAUUAAAGGCUAGCUUCCUCUCUUAUUUACAAGUGAAAAGAGUCCAUGGGUUUCAGAUCUAGAUUUGAUAUGAUCCACCAAGUCCUAAGGAAUCGGACUUUUCCAUAUAUGGCUGAAGAUUUGAGGUGCACAGCCGAUAUGAAGGGAUUACUCUCUCUUUCUUUGCCUGUUCUUUAGCUUAGGGCUUAGGAAUGGGAGUGAAUAUCACAAUGACAAAGGGUUUUGAUUGAUUUCUCUUAAUUCUCUUCUUUCAUUUGCUUUGAAAGACAGCCAGUACACUUGCACAUCUCUUAAUGGAUCCCAGUUGACUCCGUACUUCUCUCUUGAUUCAGUUUCCUUCUAAAAUCAUUUAUGUCAGUUAUAUCCUAUCCUAAUACUUGGGUGGCUGGAAAUAUAUGAAGAAUGGUGGUUGAUCAUGGAGCAUUCCAUCCAAGAAUUUAGGCUGAACCAAAGAGAAGUAAUGUUUCUUCUCAAAGCUUCAUAUUUCAUGGCUGCAAAUUUAAGAGGCUCGCUCGAGGGAUUCAGAACACUUGGAAAGAAGUCUAGCUUUUCUUUUGAUGACACUACUCUAUUUCGAGCUAAGAAGUGAUGAUGGCACCAUCGCCUUUAGAAAAUAUGCUGUGAAGCAGUUCCAGUACAAACUCCUAGAGAGCUCUAGAAGAAAAUCUUUUCCUCAUGCUCUAGUUUGGUUAACUACACAUGGAACCUCAAACGUUACUCAAUUAGAUUGCAACAUACCAUUAUACUUCAUGGAUACAAAAGGUCACAAAGUCUCUGCUUCACACAAGGAUUCAGGUAUUAGUGUCUGUACCCGUGCCAUUCUAAGAUGUGUUGAAAGGGGAAAACCUUAAAAACCAUUUUUCAGUUACACACACACACACACACACACACACACACACGCAUAUAUAUAUGUCAUGCCAACAACCCAGACCGUGUGCUGGUAAUGGCUCAACAAGGUUGGUGCUGGCCAGCACGAACCAGCAUGGUGGUGCCCGAAUCCAUGGCUUUCUAUCAAUUUCUGAUUACAUAAAUUGUUAGCUGAGACAAGGCUAAAACCAAAGAAAAAUUUCUUUCUUUUGAUUGGAAAAAUCAAAUAGAAUGAUAAGAGCCUUGAGUUACAAGGCAAAGAUCCUAAGGUAUAUAGUUUUGCUAGCCAACAUUCUUGAAAAAAUAACUAAUCCUUUGGUUGUGGGAUGAUAUAGACUGCUAGAAAUGGAAAUCUAUGACCUGACAAAUAAUAAAAUUAUCUCACUCUAAUGAAGGAAAACAAUGUUCCAUUAAAUAACUUUGAGACAUUGACAAAACCAUGAUGAAUGUAUUGACCCCAGAUGAUCAUUGAAUAAACCAUUGUUUUUUCUUGAUGGACAACGGAUACACAAACUAAAGCAGCCAACUUUAAAUAUAUAUAAAUUAUAUCCAACUUACAAAAGUCAAAGUAGUUUGAGCAUAGCUUGAACUUUACCAUGAGCCCACAAAAUAAUCAGGCUCAUAUUGUAAGUUGUAAACCUUAGCACACAAACUCUCUUGCGACAGAAGGUUCCAUUUUGUUGUGAUAAACUUCCUUAGAGAUCUACUUGUAGGUUCCCAUUAUAGUACGGUAUUGGACUUAUCUUAAAUAUCUUUAUUUAUUUCUUUGUCGCAAAUAUCCUGUCAACAAGGCAGCUAGCAAUUAAUUAUAUUAGGCAGCUAGCAAUUAAUUAUAUUAGGUUGGAGAGAUUAGAUAGACUGGGAACUAGGAAUUCAGUGUUUAAAUGUGGAUUAGGAUCUGGUUGCUAACAAUUCUAAGGGUUUAUUUCCAGUUUCAUCGUUUGUUUUGAUUACUUUUAUGCAACCUUGGGGUGUCCUAACUAUGCUGCUUCUAGAGCCAUAAAUUAAGCUAUACUUAUCAAAAUUAAGUUGAGUCUGAAACCACAAUUUGGAAAUCUAGCUUCAAGCCUUGGACAUUUUUGUUUAUGAAUUUUCCCAAGUUGUUGCUGCUGCUGAAUAUUUGCUCAAAGACUAGAAACAAGAUUUUGUUAGGUAAAGAUUAAGAAAGUUCGAAAUGUAUUUGGCAAGAAAACCUAGGAAUAUUUUAAAUCAAUCUACUCUAGGUUUGCUUCAGAUUUCCAUGAAUCAAGUAAUCUGGGCCAUACAUGUAGGGGAGAAGCCAUGUGCAAGAUUGAGUGUGGUGAAACUGAAUUCAAAAUUAACAAACUCUCAUAUUUUGAUCAAUUUCCUUUUACUCUGAGUCUGCCUCUAUCUUCCCUUUAG